GCCGGACGCGGUGGCGCGCGCCUGUAGUCCCAGCUACUCGGGAGGCUGAGAUGGGAGGAUCGCUUGAGCCCAGGAGUUCUGGGCUGUAGUGCGCUAUGCCGAUCGGGUGUCCGCACUAAGUUCGGCAUCAAUAUGGUGACCUCCCGGGAGCGGGGGACCACCAGGUUGCCUAAGGAGGGGUGAACCGGCCCAGGUCGGAAACAGAGCAGGUCAAAACUCCCGUGCUGAUCAGUAGUGGGAUCGCGCCUGUCAAUAGCCACUGCACUCCAGCCUGGGCAACAUAGCAAGACCCCGUCUCUU
rnacentral:SRP_RNA from 1 species